rnacentral:rRNA from 1 species
GACGAACGCUGGCGGCGUGCCUAAUACAUGCAAGUCGAGCGGGCCUCCGGAGGUGCUUGCACCUCCGGAAGGCCAGCGGCGGACGGGUGAGUAACACGUGGGCAACCUGCCUUUGAGGCCGGGAUAACACCGGGAAACCGGUGCUAAUACCGGAUACGUCCUCUUUCGCGCCUGCGAGAGGGGAGAAAGACGGUCUUUAAGGCCGUCGCUCAAAGAGGGGCCCGCGGCGCAUUAGCUGGUUGGUGGGGUAAGGGCCUACCGAGGCGACGAUGCGUUGCCGACCUGAGAGGGUGAUCGGCCACACUGGGACUGAGACACGGCCCAGACUCCUGCGGGAGGCAGCAGUAGGGAAUCAUCCGCAAUGGGCGAAAGCCUGACGGUGCAACGCCGCGUGAGUGAGGAAGGUUUUCGGAUCGUAAAGCUCUGUUGUGAGGGAAGAACAGCUUCCGGAGGAAAUGCCGGAGGUUUGCCGGUACCUCACCAGAAAGCCCCGGCUAACUACGUGCCAGCCGCCGCAGUAAGAC